AAGUACCCGGAGGAAGAGAAAACAAAUCAGUGAUUCCCUCAGUAGUGGCGAGCGAACGGGGAACAGCCCAAACUUUAUCGGUUACGGCCGGUAAAGGGUUGUAGGACUGCAAUGUGGACUGUAAAUUGAAAGUAGAAUUUAUCUGGAAAGAUAAAGCCAUAGAGGGUGAUAGCCCCGUACACAAAUUCAAUUUGCUACCUAGCAGUAUCCUGAGUAAGGCGGGACACGUGAAAUCCUGCUUGAAUCUGCCAGGACCAUCUGGCAAGGCUAAAUACUUACAAGAGACCGAUAGUGUACCAGUACCGUGAGGGAAAGGUGAAAAGAACCGCGAAUAGCGGAGUGAAAUAGACCUGAAACCAUACGCCUACAAGCGAUAGGAGCUCAGUUAAGUAGCAAUACUUAAUGUAGAGUGACUAUGUGCCUUUUGCAUAAUGAGCCUACGAGUUACUCCUCCCUGGCAAGGUUAAGCCCCUAAGGGGCGUUAGCCGCAGCGAAAGCAAGUCUUAACAGGGCGAAUAGUCAGUGGGGGUAGACGCGAAACCUUGUGAUCUAUCCAUGGUCAGGAUGAAGGACCGGUAACACGGUCUGGAGGUCCGAACUGAUUGACGUUGAAAAGUCACCGGAUGAACUGUGGAUAGGGGUGAAAGGCUAAUCAAACUGGGAAAUAGCUCGUACUCUCCGAAAUGUUUUGAGGAACAGCCUUGCGUAUAGUAUCACAGAGGUAGAGCUACCGAUAAGACCAGGGACCUUUACCGGUUACCGAGUCUUGACGAACUCCGAAUACUGUGAUAUGUUUACCAGGAGUGAGCCCGCGGGUGCUAAGGUCCACGGGCGAGAGGGAAACAACCCAGACCAUCAGCUAAGGUCCCCAAAUGUAUGCUAAGUUGAUUUAAUGAAGUCCAAUGGCACUGACAGCCAGGAUGUUGGCUUGGAAGCAGCCAUUCAUUCAAAGAGUGCGUAACAGCUCACUGGUCGAGCCAUUGGGCGCAGACAAUAAACGGGCAUCAAGCAUACUACCGAAGCUAUGGAUUUUAUAUUAAUUUAUAAAGUGGUAGGAGAGCAUUCUGAUUGCUGCGAAGGUGAAGCGUAAGCUUUGCUGGAGCGAUUAGAAAAGCAAAUGUAGGCAUAAGUAACGAUAAAAUCUGUGAAAAACAGGUUCGUCAAUAGUCUAAGGUUUCCUGAUCAACGCUAAUCGGAUCAGGGUUAGUCGGGUCCUAAGGUAUACCCAAACGGGGAAGCCGAUGGCCGGCCGGUUAAUAUUCCGGCACUAACGUAUACUGCUAUGGAGGGACGGAGAAGUGAAAGGUCUGCGCCGCAACGGAUGUUGGCGUUAAAGCCCGUAGAUAUAUCUUUUGUUGGCAAAUCCGCAAGAGAUGUCGAAGGUGAUAGUACAGAGAGGCUUCGGCCAAUCUGAUAAUGACUCUAAUCAGGCUCCCAAGAAAAACUUCUAUGCUUCAGGUAUACGCUACCCGUACCGCAAACCGACACAGGUAGACAAGAAGAAUAUUCUAAGACGCUCGAGUGACCCUUGGCUAAGGAACUAGGCAAAUUAACACUGUAACUUCGGGAUAAAGUGUCCCCUGAAUUAAUACUCAGGGGUUCAAUGAAAUGAUCCAGGCGACUGUUUAUCAAAAACACAGGGCUCUGCUAAAUCGAUCGAAAGAUGAUGUAUAGGGCCUGACACCUGCCCGGUGCCGGAAGGUUAAGGAGAGAAGUCAGACGCAAGUCGAAGCUUUGAACCGAAGCCCCGGUAAACGGCGGCCGUAACUAUAACGGUCCUAAGGUAGCGAAAUUCCUUGUCGGGUAAGUUCCGACCUGCACGAAUGGUGUAACGAUCUGGGCACUGUCUCAGCCAUGAGCUCGGUGAAAUUGUAGUCUCGGUGAAGAUGCCGAGUACCCGCAACGGGACGGAAAGACCCCGUGCACCUUUACUGCAACUUUGUAUUGAUUUCGGAUAAAUGAUGCGUAGCAUAGGUGGGAGACUUCGAAGCCCUGAUUCUGGUUGGGGCUGAGUCACCAGUGAAAUACCACCCUUCGUUUAUUUGAGAUCUAACUCCUGAACAACAGGAGGACAGUGCAUGGUGGGUAGUUUGACUGGGGUGGUCGCCUCCAAAAGAGUAACGGAGGCUUCCAAAGGUACCCUCAGCACGCUUGGUAACCGUGCGCAGAGUGUAAUGGCACAAGGGUGCUUAACUGUGAGGCCUACAAGCCGAGCAGAGACGAAAGUCGGGCAUAGUGAUCCGGUGGUUCCGCAUGGAAGGGCCAUCGCUCAUAGGAUAAAAGGUACGCCGGGGAUAACAGGCUGAUC
rnacentral:rRNA from 1 species